AGUUGAGUGCCUCUGGAGGUAGGCGGGCUACGUUCGUGCCAGCAGCCGCGGUAAGACGAACCGUCCAAACGUUAUUCGGAAUCACUGGGCUUAUAGGGCGCGUAGGCGGGCGAUCAAGUCAGGGGUGAAAUCCUCCAGCUCAACUGGAGAAGUGCCUUUGAUACUGGUUGUCUAGAGUGAGGUCGGGGCAUGUGGAACUUCCAGUGGCGCGGUGACAUGCGUAGAUAUUGGAAGGAACACCAGUGGCGAAAGCGAUGUGCUGGAUCUCAACUGACGCUGAGGCGCGAAAGCUAGGGGAUCAAACGGGAUUAGAUACCCCGGUAGUCCUAGCCCUAAACUUUGGGUACUAGAUUGUGGACUAACAUGGGUUCACAGUCGAAGCAAAAGUGUUAAGUACCCCGCCUGUGGAGUAUGGUCGCAAGGCUGAAACUCAAAGGAAUUGACGGGGGCUCACACAAGCGGUGGAGCAUGUGGCUUAAUUCGAGGCUACGCGAAAAAGCUUAUCCUGGAUUUGACAUGUUCGAAAGAGUUAGGAAGUAGGACCCGGCAACGGGAACGAACGGUA
rnacentral:rRNA from 1 species